rnacentral:rRNA from 1 species
CACGUAGGGGGCGAGCGUUGUUCGGAAUUACUGGGCGUAAAGGGCAUGUAGGCGGUUUUGUAAGCCUGGCGUGAAAUUCUGCAGCUUAACUGUAGGACUGCGCUGGGAACUGCGAGACUGGAGUCACGGAGAGGGAGCCAGAAUUCCAGGUGUAGGGGUGAAAUCUGUAGAUAUCUGGAAGAAUACCAAUGGCGAAGGCAGGCUUCUGGCCGAUGACUGACGCUGAGGUGCGAAAGCGUGGGUAGCAAACAGGAUUAGAUACCCUGGUAGUCCACGCGGUAAACGAUGCACACUAGGUGCCGGGGCGGACGCUUCGGUGCCGGAGCCAACGUGGUAAGUGUGCCGCCUGGGGAGUAUGCUCGCAAGGGUGAA